rnacentral:rRNA from 1 species
UACGUAGGGUGCGAGCGUUAAUCGGAAUUACUGGGCGUAAAGCGUGCGCAGGCGGUUAUGCAAGACAGGUGUGAAAUCCCCGGGCUCAACCUGGGAACUGCAUUUGUGACUGCAUAGCUAGAGUGCGGCAGAGGGGGAUGGAAUUCCGCGUGUAGCAGUGAAAUGCGUAGAUAUGCGGAGGAACACCGAUGGCGAAGGCAAUCCCCUGGGCCUGCACUGACGCUCAUGCACGAAAGCGUGGGGAGCAAACAGG